rnacentral:rRNA from 1 species
AUGCAGUCGAGCGGUAGAGAGAAGCUUGCUUCUCUUGAGAGCGGCGGACGGGUGAGUAAUGCCUAGGAAUCUGCCUGGUAGUGGGGGAUAACGUUCGGAAACGGACGCUAAUACCGCAUACGUCCUACGGGAGAAAGCAGGGGACCUUCGGGCCUUGCGCUAUCAGAUGAGCCUAGGUCGGAUUAGCUAGUUGGUGAGGUAAUGGCUCACCAAGGCGACGAUCCGUAACUGGUCUGAGAGGAUGAUCAGUCACACUGGAACUGAGACACGGUCCAGACUCCUACGGGAGGCAGCAGUGGGGAAUAUUGGACAAUGGGCGAAAGCCUGAUCCAGCCAUGCCGCGUGUGUGAAGAAGGUCUUCGGAUUGUAAAGCACUUUAAGUUGGGAGGAAGGGCAGUUACCUAAUACGUGAUUGUUUUGACGUUACCGACAGAAUAAGCACCGGCUAACUCUGUGCCAGCAGCCGCGGUAAUACAGAGGGUGCAAGCGUUAAUCGGAAUUACUGGGCGUAAAGCGCGCGUAGGUGGUUUGUUAAGUUGGAUGUGAAAUCCCCGGGCUCAACCUGGGAACUGCAUUCAAAACUGACUGACUAGAGUGUGGUAGAGGGUGGUGGAAUUUCCUGUGU